AAGGCCUCAUUCUUCAGUCAGGUUUUCCCUGUUCCCGCGUGUUCGGCCAAUUUUUUGUUGUUGUUGUUUUGUUUUUGUUUUUGUUUUUGAGUCAAUUUUCCAGACAUCUUUAAUUAGCAAUAUGUUUAAGUAGUUACAAGCCUUUCCUUCUUUUCUUGUGACAGUUUGGGUUGAAUUUCUAUCGUUUGCAGCCUGUCACUGUAAGGCACAAACAUGAUCACGCAAGAUGCGAUAGUAGAUUUAAGCCAGUUGUUUUUAAGUUUGUGUUUAAGGAGAAACUAACAAUGAAAACGGCCUCGUUGACGGAGGAAAAGUUGGAAUGCAGCCUCUGGUGCUGUUUGAGCGAUCCCUCUCCCCGGGGCCUGGCCGCGCGCUGCUGUGUUCUGGAAGGGCUCAUUGUACAGUCAAGGCGGCAGACUAGCCCUGCUUGCAACUUCCACGUGCAGUCCUCCGCAAUGCUGCCAGAGCGGCAGCUACAACUCUAUGAUUGAAGGCAUCGCCCUCCUGGUUCUCCAUAUUGUUUGCCAUCUUGGACAGAUAAACUAGAUGAGCUCUUUUUUCAACACUCAGAGAAUGUUUUGAAUUCACAUUUCUGCCAUCUUACUCACCUAUUCGAAUCAGUUCCCUCCCCCUCCCUUGUAUCAAAUAUUGUCUCUGAUAAUAAUACAUUGAGUUAUUUGUAGUUCCUGAAGAAUUUCAUGUUCUUAUAACAUGAAAUUUUUUCCCACACUAUUUGUUAUAACUAGUUUACCUAUUUCUGCCUAAAUAAAAUCUUCUCCA
ensembl:lncRNA novel transcript